CGCAAACACCACCCCCGCACGAUACCAAAACCCACGCACACGAGCGUGUAAGGAAAGGAAAACAUAAGGACCCACUUGCAGAGAUUUCUUCUCUCCCACAACCUGGAGGGGAAAUAUGUAUAUGGUUGAAAACUGAAAAAGCACCAAAAGUUACACAGUGACAAGUAAGUCUCCCUGCCCACCCUCAGGACGACCAGGCCACCCGGGGCCUCUCCCCACUGUAACCACAGUAACCACCGUCUUGUAUCACCCUCCGAACAUAUUCUCCCUUCCUCCUGGCUUGCGCCUUGAAGUCGCAAUGAAGCUGAGUUGAGCACUGAGUUCUGGGGAGAGGUGGGGGGGACACCCCCGGACCGCUGGGGCCUUGGAGCCCCGAAUACUCAGUUUCCCCUCCCGCCCUGCUAAGAUGGCUGCACGCCUCAGGAGCACAGAAGCCUAGAAGCCUGGCAGGUGAGAGGGAGGGGUCGGGGGCCAGGCAGAGGCAGGAACCCUCUCCAGGGCUCCAGUCCACCACGCUGCCCCCACGGGGCUCUCAGUGUUGGCCUGGCAGAGGGCUCACCCCGUUGGGUCCACUCAGGUUCUCCAGAGAACAAGGCUCCACACCUUCCCUCUACUACCUGUUGCACUGUUGGGAAGUCUUUCAUGAUGUCUAAUUCGGACUCCCUCUACUUUAGGUGCAGCCCAUGGCUUUUUAUUCUGCCCCAAUGGAGACAGAGCAUCCUCUUUGAGGUGAUGACUCGGUUCCCUCCCCCCACUUACAUACACCAGCAGCCACACUCCCCUCACCUUGAAGGCCUCUGAAUUCCUAGUCCGCCCCUCAUGUCCCACCACUCCAUCCUUGCCUGGUACAUCCCUUUGGUAUUAUUAUCCCAAAGAACACUUUGGUCAUGGGGGUGAUGAAAUCCCAACCUACAGUCAAGUGUUCCACCAGAGUCAGGGGGUAAAUCCACGCUAGUCCCCUUGCCAGCUGAAUCUCCCCAUUUCUGGUGAUGCCCCAGCUCUUGCACUUGUGCCCAUCACCUUGACCCCCAGAUCCUCAAGCAUGGCCUGCAGUGAGAGAAGGUACAAGUUAACCUCCAGCCUGGGAUGGCCUCCCCCUGCACGCCCCUCCAAACCCUGUCCUGGUUAACCUCAGCCUUUGCGUCUACUCACUGAGCAAUUAUUAUUGAUUCUUCCAGGUUCUUGGGAUGCAUCAAUGAACGAAACAGAGACAGACCCCUGCCCAUGUGGGGUUUACGCUUUAGCAGGGAGAGAUAGACAAUAAACAAUACAUUUAUUAAAUAAGUAAAUUAUAUUUUAUAUUAGAAGGUGAUAAGGGUUACAAAAAAAACGUAGAUCGGGGAAAAGGGAUCAGGAUGGAGGGGAAGUCUAUAAUUUUAAUUUUAUUAUAUUAUAUUUAAUUAUAAUUUUAAAUAUGGUAUCAAGGAGGUCUCAUUGAGAAUACAGUAUUUGAACCAAGACCUAGAGACGAGCGGGCAAGUAAGCCCCACAGACUUCUUGGGGAAGAGUAUUCUAAGCAGAGGGAAUAGCUGGUGCAAAAGCCCUGGGGCAGGCACUUACCUGGCAAGUUUGUGGAACCUGGAGGCCAGCAUGGCUGGUGUGGAGUGAGCAAGGAGAUGUGUAUGGGAUGGCGUGACAUCAGAGAGGUAACGAGGGGCCAGAUAAUCUAGGGCCAUGUAGGCUGUCUUAAGGACUUCUACCUUUACUCUGAGUGAAAUAGGGAGGAAAGACAUGAAUGGACUUAAGUUUUUAGAUGGUCCUUCUGUCUUUUGUGUUGUGAUAGAUUGCAGGGGGCAAGAGAAGACACAAGGAGACUUGUUGAAAGGUUAUUGCACUAAUCCAAGUGAGAGGUUGUGUGCUUUCUCUUUCUUGAACACUGAGAGCUCUGUGAGGGGGGCUCAAUUCCUGUCCCUGGGAUCUGCCCCAGCCUCCGGGGCAGGGCCCGAGCCAAGGGCACCAGGUCCCGGUGCUGCCACGGAGCGACUGACAGGCAGGGCGGCCCGGGUGGGCAGAGAAGGCUGCUGUCUCUACGGAGGACGUGAUGGACAGUUACUGAAGGCGCUCCUCUGGGGGCUCCGCUCCGGUCUUCAUCUGAGUCGCCCUCAAGGAAAUCGUAACCAGCUCUUAAAAACAUGUUAAGACCAAAGCCGUGUGUGUGUCUGAGCGGAGCUUCGACAGCUACUUAACACGGGGGCCUCUGGGCCUUUGAGUCCACUCCCUCUCGCCUGGCCCUCUCCCCCCCGUCUGGCUGGUGUUUAUCGGCCAAGACGUUGUUUAAAUCACACUCGUUUCCUGUAAACAUUUCACUUGAAAUGCCAUCCGCUGCUCCAGAAAUGCAUCUGUCACAGCUCAGGGGCGUGCUUGAGGAGCCUCGUGGGAUGGCGCCCCGUCUCUCUCUCCUCUCCCACCGUCCCCCCUCCUCCCCGACCCAUCUUCUCCGGUUUCACGCCAUGAGAACUACUUCCCCUCAGUGUAACAGGGCACUUAGUGCCAGGAUUAUUUAUAACAGUUGAGAUGGCAACAGGCUAUGGGGAGCAGCCCAGCCCGUGCACACUUUCUCUUACAAAGCUCAAUAAAUGGACCUGGAUCACUGUUUACCACCUGCUGUCUCGGUCUCCUCUGUUUCCUGCUGGCUUCAAGGGGCUGUGGGGGAUGGGGGAACAGGGGUCUGGACCAGGCCAAGGCUGUCCUCAGAGGGUAAGGCGCUUACAGACCAGGCCCUGAAUAAAGAGACCCCCUCACUCUAUUUCCUCUCACCUCCGGACAGGCACUUCCCUGCCUCAGGCGAGCUCUCCUCUUGGAAAUGAGCUGCUCUUGGGGUCCAUUCUCCAGCAGGGAGCCCGCUGCCCCCCGAGGAAAGCUGGCAUCAUUCUGCUACUGCAGUGGCAGACCUGGGAGUCAAGCUGAGGAAGGCGUCUGACCUGGACUGGAAUGGGAGUGCAGGAGGUUCUGGGGGUUCUUCCAAAGAAAUAUUUCGAUUGGCUCACUUCAGGCUGGAGUGAGGCAGGGGGAUGGAGGAAGUCACUUCCGGAGGACUGAGAGCUUUCUGACCAUCCUCCUCCUCCCCACAAUUCCCUAGUUGUCCUGAUUUGAAGGCUCUGGGGUGUUGGGGCCUGGAGGAUGGUAACCCAGUUAAUGGCUCCUCUCCCAAUCUCAUUUAUUUGGCCGGAGUCACAUUAAGGAAAGGCAUCGUCAGACCUCCUCAUCCUUCCCAGAGGCCUGAUCCAACCCCUCCCCAGACACCGGGGCCCCUCCACCUCCUUCCCUCCACACCUCUGCCCACCCACCGCACCGAUGAGGCUCCUAGGUGAGUUCCAGGGAGACCCCAGGUGAGAGACUUCUAGAAGACAGAGAGGGAUCAGGGUCAAACCCAAGGUGGGACAGGCAGGAGAGGCAGCCCUGGUCUUUGGGGU